GGGCCUUCUUUAGCUCAGCUGGUAGAGCACCUGACUCUUAAUCAGGGUGUCCAGGGUUCGAGUCCCUGAAGGCCCACCA
rnacentral:tRNA from 1 species